AGAGUUUGAUCCUGGCUCAGGACGAACGCUGGCGGCGUGCUUAACACAUGCAAGUCAAGGAGAACGAAUCCUUCGGGAUACUAUUAAACUGGCGAACGGGUGAGUAACACGUAGGCAACCUACCUCAGAGAUUGGGAUAACUUCGGGAAACCGGAGCUAAUACCGAAUAAUGCAGCGGAUCCUUCGGGAUAUGUUGUUAAAGUGGGCUUCGGCUCACACUUUGAGAUGGGCCUGCGUCCGAUUAGCUUGUUGGUGAGGUAAUGGCUUACCAAGGCGAUGAUCGGUAGCUGGUCUGAGAGGAUGAUCAGCCACACUGGGAUUGAGAUACGGCCCAGACUCCUACGGGAGGCAGCAGUGGGGAAUUUUGCGCAAUGGACGAAAGUCUGACGCAGCAACGCCGCGUGAUCGAUGAAGCUUCUAGGAGUGUAAAGAUCUGUCGUGAGGGAAGAAAAAUCUGGAUGUAAAUAAUGUUCAGACGUGACGGUACCUCACAAGAAAGCACCGGCUAACUUCGUGCCAGCAGCCGCGGUAAUACGAGGGGUGCUAGCGUUGUCCGGAAUUACUGGGCGUAAAGGGUUCGUAGGCGUCUUGCCAAGUUGAUCGUUACAGCCACCGGCUUAACCGGUGAUCUGCGAUCAAAACUGGUAAGAUAGAAUAUGUGAGGGGAAUGUGGAAUUCCUGGUGUAGCGGUGACAUGCGUAGAUAUCAGGAGGAACACCAAUGGCGAAGGCAGCAUUCUGGCACAAUAUUGACGCUGAGGGACGAAAGCGUGGGUAGCGAACAGGAUUAGAUACCCUGGUAGUCCACGCCGUAAACGAUGAGUACUUGAUGGUGGAGGAUUCGAUCCCUUCACUGUCGGAGCUAACGCGU
rnacentral:rRNA from 1 species